UACAGAGGUCCCGAGCGUUGUUCGGAUUCAUUGGGCGUAAAGGGUGCGUAGGCGGCGGGGUAAGUUUGAUGUGAAAUCCCGGGGCUCAACCCUGGAAUUGCAUUGAAUACUACCUUGCUAGAGUACCGGAGAGGAAACUGGAAUUUACGGUGUAGCAGUGAAAUGCGUAGAGAUCGUAAGGAACACCGGUGGCGAAGGCGGCAUCCUGGACCGGCAUUGACGCUGAUGAGCGAAAGCUAGGGGGAGCAAACGGG
rnacentral:rRNA from 1 species